ensembl:lncRNA
CUCAUCUUUUUAAGUGGGAGAACUUGCACAAUUGGUGGCUGACUAAAUACUUUUUUGCCCCACUGUAUAUGACAGCAGCAGAAUUGAUAAGUGACCAUUCACCUGGUUUGCUUAAUAUCUUUCUGGCAGGUUAUGUCGCGGUGCUCCUCUAUCACCGUACAACGUGUGAUGUUCUGCUAGCUGCCCAGACGUUCUGUCUGUUUGGGACACAGUACCCUGGAUGCCUACCACAGGGCACCCUGUUCUCUAUGUUGAGAACUACUUUUUCAAAUCAAUAUGCUGGAUCCAACUGGAUUUUAUUUUAAUGCUGUUCAUUCCAAGUGGCCUUUUACCAUUAUCAAAAAACAAGUUAUUAAUUCAAGAUAUUUUUAGGAACUGUCCAUAAAAUGGAAUAGAUUGGAUGAAACUGAGUUUGUAAUCAUAUUAACGUACCAUUUUUCUAGUACCAUUCUGGGAAAAGUAUUUUAUGUGUAAUGUUUAAUUUCUGAAUAAUAAUACAAAGUACAACUUUUAAGUAUUGUAUUCUUGGUUGGUAUGUAUGUAUUGUUACGCCCUGAAAUGAGUAUUCUUUGUUUUCUUUAUAUAUUUUGGUUAGGUCAGGGUGUGACAUGGGUGAUGUGUUUUUGUAUUGUCUAGGGGUUUUAUAGGUUUAUGGGGUUGUUUACCAUCUAGGUGUUUAUGUAUGUCUAUGGUUGCCUAGAUUGGUUCUCAAUUAGAGGCAGCUGUUUAUCGUUGUCUCUGAUUGGGAACCAUAUUUAGGCAGACAUCUUUGGGUAUUUCGUGGGUUAUUGUCUAUGUGUAGUUGCCUGUGUCUGCACUCGUUGUCAUAGCGUCACGUUCGUUUUGUUUUUGUUUGUGUUCUUCAUUCAUUAAAAGAAGAAUGUAUUCUAGUCACGCUGCGCUUUGGUCUCCUCUUUACGACGAUCGUGACAGAAUAACCCACCAACAAUGGACCAAACAGCGUGGUAACGGCCAGCAGCGGCAGCGGCAAAGAACGCAGGACUCGUGGACUUGGGAGGAGAUUCUGGACGGCGAAGGACCCUGGGCACAGCCAGGGGAAUAUCGCCGCCCCAAAGCAGAGCUGGAGGCAGCGAAAGCAGAGAGGCGCCGAGUUGGAUAUAUCCAGGUAUCACACGAAGGGCCACUGUAGGAAGCUUGGCUCGCCAAAGAAUGAUACCACAGAUGAUCUUCCUGAUAACACUAGGACUGCAGAGAGAGCCUCAAUGAGAUGGCCACCCUCCCUCACGGUUUUGAGGACAGCAGAGCCACACGUACGACAGACGCAGUCCAUCCCCACUCACCCUCCCUGCACCCCCCUGAAGCACACCCCACCCGGUCCUUAUGGACAUGGAUAUCCACCACAUCCACCUCAGCCUUCAGCCAAGGAGCGGUCCAAGUCGGUGGAGCCCAGAUACGAGCCCCGCCACCUGGACUUUAACUUCCUGCGCAGAGCCUCUGCCAUAGAGCAGGUAGAGGGGGAGCUCCAGUACCGGUGUGCUGGGUGCCUGUUGCUCUAUCCCAGCUUGGCCGUGCUGCAGAACCACAUCGGCCUCAGCUGGAUGGAGGGCUUCAGCUGCCGCGUCUUCUACAGGAAGCUGAGGGAGAUCUGCAACAGGAACGAAACCAAGAAGCUCCACGAGAGGGUCCAAACAAGUAGUGUCGCUGAGAAGCAGCUGAGGCCACCAACGUGUGGGGCAGCGCUGGGCCUUGCUAGAGGGGGUAGGAGUGGAGGGCAGACAGGGCUGAAGCAGGGAGAUCCUCCUGGAGCUGCUGCAGGAAGGAAGGACCAGGGGGCACCCAGCCACAGGUUGACUCUGGAGUCGGUGGAGACCAUAAGAAGGAACACAGCCGUUCACAAGUGGCUGAAUGAGAUUGAAUGUUACCCCUUCCCUGAUGUCACCCAGUCACCAGAGAGAGCAUAAAAACAUCCCUCUUUUUGAUUCAUCAGUUUCACUGAAUGAGAAAGACUAUUGGCACUGAAUUAAAGACUAUUGGCAUUGAAUUAAAAACUAUUGGCAUUACAUUUCUCAGUGUAAAGGUGUCAUUGCUGUCCUUAGAGGAUUUGCUCUGGGAUGGUGGGACUGGUUUGUGUUAUUCACAGGCAGAUAAGUUGCUGUCUGUGUUCACACACGUGUGAAUUAAAAUACCAUCACUGCUGACCGGG